UACAUCAAGAGAACCAAAUUCUGUGUGAAACCUCUGUUAUGGAGUCUGUAAUCCCACUGGGAAGAAGAAGGCUCUGUACCCAGAGAUGCUUCCUCUGUUAAUAUCAGCACUGCAGGGUGCUUUUAAAGUUUUUCACCUGGAGAAAAUUAUUCCUAAAGUCAGAGACCAUGAGCUGGCCCAUCAAGCGGCAUGUUCUGACAGGUGAAAGUGCUGAGCAUGGUGUGUCUCAUGUAUGCCAAACUGGUUUGGAACUCCACUACUCAAUUAUGCAGCCAAGGAGGAACGUCAAAGUUUGGCUCUGUGAGAUAAAUAAAUCUUUUAAGCAGAGCUUUGCAGAACUUCUGCUAUGAGUGUGGAAGACUAGAAUACUGCUGCUAUACAAACAGAGGUAAAGACUGUGCUCCUGAGGUCAGAGUGAAAUGGGCUGUUUGUUUUUCUUUCUGGAAACAUUGUCUGGCUGCAUUCUCCCCGUGUCUUGAAGAUUCCAAUGAAGCUGAACUCAAAAGUAAGGGACCAAACGGCUUGGCAUAAUAUGGUUAAAGAGAGGAGCAUAUGCUGAGAUUAUGACAUAGUUAUUGCUCCCCAGAUUUACUGAGGCUUAUAAUAAGAAUUUGAGGAAGGAAGGAUAUUACAACUGUGCACUUUGAUAAGGAAAGGAGUGUGAACAGAUUAAAAUUGCUGAUUGUGCCUUUGCCAACAAGCUACAGUUUUCCUUAGUUUAUUAGUUUAUAUCCAUUGUGCAUAAUAUUGCAUGUUAUAAUGCUAUUUUCAUGAAAGUAUAUCACGUACCUUGACCACGUAUACCUCCCUUCCAAAUAGUCCCCUCUUCCUCCUCCUAUUCCUAUUUACACCCCACACUCUGACACUUUGCUUCACUAGGGCAGGUGAUUAUAGGAACAGCCCAGCUACACAGGACAAGACCCCUUAGAAAAAUAUGUCUACCCUUUCCUAAUAUCAGCACCUCCCUUCCUGUGAGUGAUUUGGAGUUAGACACUUUCUGGACAAAGAA